rnacentral:rRNA from 1 species
GACGAACGCUGGCGGCGGGCUUAACACAUGCAAGUCGAACGGAAAGGCCCUGGUUUUGUGGGGUGCUCGAGUGGCGAACGGGGGAGUAACACGUGAGUAACCUGCCCUUGACUUUGGGAUAACCUCAAGAAAGUGGGGCACAUACUGGGUAGUAUUUCCUGCUGCAUGGUGGGGGUUGGAAAGUGUCGGCGGUGGGGGAUAGACUCGCGGCUUAUCAGCUUGUUGGUGGGGUAGUGGCUUACCAAGGCUUUGACGGGUAGCCGGCAUGAGAGGUUUAACGGCCUCAUUAGGACUGCGAUACGGCACAGACGCCUACGGGACGCAGCAGUGGGGAGUAUUGCACAAUGGCCGGGAGCCUGAUGCAGCAACGCCGCGUGCGGGAUGACGGACUUCGGGUUGUAAACCGCUUUCGCCUGUGACGAAGCGUGAGUGACGGUAAUGGGUAAAGAAGCACCGGCUAACUACGUG